CCUCCGGCGGGCGGCAGCUGCCGGGCCCCGCACCGCCCCGCCCCGCCCGGCGGCGGGCGGCACCCGGCGGGGCCCCGGGCGCGGCGCGGCCGCUGCGGGCGACGCGAGGCCGGGCCGAGGGGCGCGGGGAGGGAAGGGGCCGGUUACCUUCGGGGUUGGCGCUGAUGAAGACGCGGACGCUCCUGCCGCUCGGCACCAGAUACUGCAGGAGGAAAAGUUCUCCAUCUGUUCCGAAUCCAGAAAAAGUCCUUAAUCUGGGAGACAAGCACGGAGAGAAAAAGGGAGUUUCUCUGCAUGAGUCCAGUUGUUCUACUGCAGAAAUGAUGGCCGUGGAUUUCUGUCUCUAGUCUACUGUAUCUAAUGCCGAUUUCUGUAAGCUGAUGGAGCAUGCAGUACGCUAUCACCAAAUGCUGUCGUGGACAUGUUUUGCAACCAUCGCUGUGCCACAGUUGUACAGUGCUGUGCUCUGAAGUGUUAUGAAGGCCCUGAGGCAGCCUGAAUGUAAGAGCAUUCGCUGAAGAAUCGUGAAGACAACUAUCAUCAUCUGAGGGUUAACUUUACUUUGAAGUAAUCACUAUUCCCAAAUAAAAUCUGUCAUGUGGGUCA